AGAACGAACGCUGGCGGCAUGCCUAAUACAUGCAAGUCGAACGAACACUUCGGUGUUAGUGGCGCACGGGUGCGUAACGCGUGGGAAUCUGCCCUUGGGUUCGGAAUAACAGUUGGAAACGACUGCUAAUACCGGAUGAUAUCGAAAGAUCAAAGAUUUAUCGCCCAGGGAUGAGCCCGCGUAGGAUUAGCCAGUUGGUGAGGUAAAGGCUCACCAAGGCGACGAUCCUUAGCUGGUCUGAGAGGAUGAUCAGCCACACUGGGACUGACGACACGGCCCAGACUCCGUACGGGAGGCAGCAGUAGGAAUAGUGGACAAGUGGGCGCAAGCCUGACUACCAGCAAGUCGCCGCGUGAGUGAUAGAAGGUACCGUUUAGGGUUAGUUAAACGUCUUACCGUUUUACCCGAGUA
rnacentral:rRNA from 1 species